rnacentral:rRNA from 1 species
GACGAACGCUGGCGGCGUGCUUAACACAUGCAAGUCGAACGGACAGGCCCUGCUUUUGUGGGGUGCUCGUGUGGCGAACGGGUGAGUAACACGUGUGUAACCUGCCCCUGACUUUGUGAUAUCUUCAGGAAACUGGGGCUAUUACCGGAUAGGAUCUCCUGCUGCAUGGUGGGGGUUGGAAAGUUUCGGCGGUUGGGGCUGGACUCGCGGCUUAUCCGCUUGUUUGUGGGGUAGUGGCUGACCAAGGCUACGAAGGGUAGCCGGCGUGGGAGGGUGACCGGCGACAUUAGGACUGCGAGAGGGCCCAGACUCGUACCGGAGGCAGCGGGGGAGAAUAUUGCACAGUGAGCGGGAGCCAGAGGUGACAACGCCGGGUGCGGGAUGACGGCCUUCGAGUUGUAAACCACUUUCGAAGGUGACGAAGCGUGAGUGACGGUAAUGGGUAAAGAAGCACCGGCUAACUACGUG